CGAAACAAAUUAGACCCACAACGGCGGCUCCCGUGAUAUAAUUCUUCUAGGUCUCCUUCACUCUGCUCCCAUCGUUGAGUUCUUGCUAGCCUUUGGAAUCCUCUGCUAAUGGUGCCUUAUCCGUCGAUUGUUUCUUUUCUGCCUUUGAUACUGUCGUAGACAAGAAGGAUUGAGAAAGCAAAGUUGCGACUUGGGACGAGAAGGCUACAGACGAUAUAUUAUUUAAAAUUAAGAUAAGAUUUCCUUCUGAAGUUUGAUGUCUCCACUGAUUCGAAUAUGAAGUCUUUCGAUCUCUCUUUCUCUGCUACAUUUAGGUAUCAUCGUGAUUAAUUAUUCACACAUCUUUGUUCAUUGAUAAUCAUACAAUUAAGUUUAGUUAUUUUAAGCUUUUUAUAGUGUGUAGCUUUGAUGAUAUUAUUUGCCUGCAAAAUUGGUGCUUUCUUGAAAUAUUUGCGUUUAUGCAGCGCUUUCAUUUGUUCUUUAGUUUGGAGUGCUUGAGGGGAAGGUAAAGAUAUUUUUUGGGGGGUUUUCUAAGCAAAUUUUAUUUUGUUUUUGAUAAAGCAUUCAGUUAAUUUUGUUUGAUUUUCCAUCUUGCUUUAGAGUAAGAAAUUUAUUGUCUAACUCUAAUUAGAGUAAUGAAUGUUGUCAGGUUUUUCAUCUAAAGAUACUCAAAUGGUUGAUUGUUGGCUCAUAUGUCUAUUCCAACGUAUAGAUUAAUCAUUAGCGUCACUAUCUUGGUGGGAGGAAUGUGGAAAUGAGGGUUACAUUUAGAUGUGUGCUGGUUAUGGAGCUCAAUUUAGAGGGAAUUUAUUACUUAAAGUUGAAAUUCUGCAAUAAUUAGUGGUAUUAGCCAUCAUUUGAUCAUCACCUUGGACAAUCUUUUUCUAGAAAGUCAGUAGAUUAUCAAAUGAGUAGGCACUCAAACGACAUGGGGAGGAAGCUUCUAAAAGAAAGUAGCAGAAGGAGGGGAAACAGAGCCGAAGAAGUGAAAAUAUCUCUUGUCCCAAUAUUAGUUUGAAUCCAGCAAUGUUUAAUUGUAAAGAUGUAUAGCUAUUCACAAUUUUAUUCUUGUAUAUGGAUCAUAUGUUUGCAAAUAUUUUAUUUUUGUUUAAAUUGUCUAUAGUGAAUGACAUUUGUAAGUACAA